UACGUAGGGGGCGAGCGUUAUCCGGAAUUACUGGGUGUAAAGCGCACGCAGGCGGUUCGCCAAGUUUGGAGUGACAGUUGUCGGCUCAACCGACAAAGGACUUCAAAAACUGGUGAACUUGAGGACGAGAGAGGAACAUGGAACUCCAGGUGUAGUAGUGAAAUGCGUAGAUAUCUGGAAGAACACCAAUGGCGAAGGCAAUGUUCUGGCUCGUUUCUGACGCUCAGGUGCGAAAGCCAGGGGAGCGAACGGG
rnacentral:rRNA from 1 species